UACAGAGGGGGCAAGCGUUGUUCGGAAUUACUGGGCGUAAAGGGCGCGUAGGCGGCCUGCUAAGUCGAACGUGAAAUCCCCGGGCUCAACCCGGGAACUGCGUCCGAUACUGGCAGGCUUGAAUCCGGGAGAGGGAUGCGGAAUUCCAGGUGUAGCGGUGAAAUGCGUAGAUAUCUGGAGGAACACCGAUGGCGAAGGCAGCCCCCUGGGUCAACACUGACGCUCAUGCACGAAAGCGUGGGGAGCAAACAGG
rnacentral:rRNA from 1 species